AUGAGGGCAGCAUGAGCGGCCUCAAAUGUGCCUUUGGGAGUAGUUAGCCUUUCGCUCUUGAUGAGGAGAAGACGUCGGCCAUCCGCUUGAAGGGCCAAGCUCCAGCGACCCAGGAGCCGUGGAUCUUCUGACUUCCGAGAGCAGCGGAGCACGAGUGGAGCAGAGGGUGUGUGUGCACCACGACACGUUGGAAGGAAGGCUGAUGUAGAGAAAUAACAACACGAUUCAGGAUCAUCAUUGAGAUUUUGGAGGAUUGAACAAAAGCAUCUGGUCGGGAACGUCGUUAUGAAGGAAGAGACAAGACCCUGCCUGAGGAGGCACAUAUGAGAAUAACAGAAAGGAGCCUGUGGAUAAAUACAGAAGAGCAGCUGAGGAGGUAGGUAGCAGCCAGAGCUGCGGCUGGACCUGGCAUGGCUCCU
rnacentral:lncRNA from 1 species